UGUGUAGGUGGACUGGCAAGUGCCUUGUGAAAUCCCACGGCUCAACCGUGGAACGGCUGGGCAUACUGCCGGUCUUGAGCAACCUAGGGGCGAGCGGAACAAAUGGUGGAGCGGUGAAAUGCGUAGAUAUCAUUUGGAACGCCAAUGGUGAAAACAGCUCGCUGGGGGUUUGCUGACACUGAGACACGAAAGCUAGGGGAGCAAACGGGAUUAGAUACCCCGGUAGUCCUAGCCGUAAACGAUGUCCACUAGACCGUAGAGCUUUUGACGGCGUUGCGGUCGAAGCCAAAGUGUUAAGUGGACCGCCUGGGAAGUACGGUCGCAAGGCUAAA
rnacentral:rRNA from 1 species